AUUCAUUCCCUGUUUUGUUACUCAUCGAUACAUUUCUAGUCUGUGAAUUCUGUUAACUCUGUGCUUGUGUGAAGAGUGAUUUUUUUUUGUAUUAAUAUUUUGGUUAAUUUUUUGUUGUUAUUCUUAUGAAUAGUGCACAGGACUUUCGAGGGACGAGAAGACUGAACGAUGACCAGACUGAGGGUCAUUACCUUCAUCAGCUUGAUAUUGACCUUCACACCGCACGCCCCGCCGACCGAGGCCUCAGACGCCCAGGGGACGAAGGGAGGCCACAACACAGAGCCCGUGAGAAUGCCGAGAAAUUCGGACCGGUCGAGACAGCAG